UCUGACGUCUCCAAACUGGGGCAUCGCGUCGCAUUUUACGUGACGACGAGAGGUAAAGGGGCAGAGAAGGUCCGUUGUUCCAGGACAGAGGCCACGUCUCCCAGACCUGGUUGUCUGCUUGGCACAAGCCCGGGGGCGGGGACGGCCUUCCACCCGCCCUCCUCUGCCCGUGACUUCUGGCCUGACCCCAACUGAAGGGGCCGGACAGCUGCUGGCCAGCCUCUUCCCCUGCCCACGUGAUUUGCCCACUUCCCGAGCUGGACCCGGAACCUCAGAGCCCUCGGGGAAGACCAUGGUCAUGAUACACAGAAGGAGAUGCUGGGAGUAAAGGACUCAGGGCCCAGAUAUCCUAGACGCCUCUAACGUCAAGAGGAGGCCAAAGAUUCGCCCGCCCUGAAUGAUGACUUCUGACUCUCCAUCCGUCACAGAACAGAGCAAGUGGGGAGAUCCGUGUGUGCUCCCCCGGCGGUGAGCGGCGGCCGAGGACCCGAUUUGUCUCCCCUGCUUUCCUCCCGUGUAACGCAUGUUCACAAACAACAUAUUUGCCUGAGUUAUUUAUGCAAAGCAGCAUUAGUACAUAGUUUUGGCCUCUUGUUUUCUCUUUGAAAAAUAAUUUGCGGAAAUCCCGUCAAAUUACUUCGCACAGCUAUUUAUUUUUAAAGGCUUCCUACGGUUGGUGGUACGGAUGUGACACAUUGUUUCCAGCUUCUCUGAAAUUGAUGUGGAGUCACUUCACUUCCAAUUCUUGGUCAAGACAACUCUAAUGAGAAGCUUUGUACAUUAUUAGUUCAUCCGAUAUACACUUAUGGUCGGAUAUGUCCUUACAUGGUGGUCCUUUUAUUUCUAUUGGCAUUUUGAGGGGGCUCCCAAUAAAUAGUGCAUUUCUCCCCUGACUAGAUUCUAAACACACCAAAAUAACAAGUAAGAAAAUAAUUUUGGAGGCAAACGGCACCUUUAUCACUGGUAGCAGCCAAAUGGGAGGAUUCGGCAUUAGGUGUAUUUGUCAAGGGGGCUUCCGGGAAGACCACCGAUCGGGCGGCUUCCCCGCCCCACUGAGGGUGCGCGUGGGCCUCACGGAGUCGGGGCAGCCCGGUUGGGGCCCACGAGGAGAAGGGAAGAGCUGAGCCCAGUUCGGCUGCUUCAUCGUUGCUGGCAAACACCCCUGGGAGUCCGGGAGAAGGCGGAGCGUGUGCUCAGGACACGUCCCUCCACAGGGACCCCAGGAGCGUGAAACACACUCCCUCUCCCGCUUCCCCGGCGGGUUCCCCGGGGGCAGCACUGCCGGGUGCAGAGGGCAUCUGUCACAGUGAGGACCGUGGCCUCUUCCGGCUUGGGUUGUGAGGCACGUAACGUAGGAGCCCUUGUCGUUUCCAUCCGACGCCUUCUGGAAAGCUGGUGUCCUGGGCGCUGUGUCCUUCCCGGGGCGGAUGCUCCCCGGCGGCCUUCUUUCUCCCCGGCUGGUCCUUUUCUGCCUCCCCGCUGGGACCCCUAACCCUCACUGUGGGUUUCUCCUCUGCCCAGCCGUGGACACUGCUGCCCCUGAGCCCCGUCCUCUCCCGGCAAGCUUGUCCUCCGGUGGCUCCGGCCCGAUCUCCCUGCCGGACUCCCCGCCAGCUACCUGGCAUCCACGUGGGCUCCAGCAGGCGUGCCACAGGCCACGUGCCCAGGACGGAACUUUUCUCCCCCUCCAGCUGCCUGUUCUCCAUCUCCGCAAACGGCACCCCGUCCAUCCGCUUCCAGAGCCAGAACGCCGUGUUUUCCGAGACACCUGCCUGCACCGCCCCCUCCCCCCCUUCCAGAACACCCGCCAGUCUAAGCCGCUGUCCCGUAACCCCCCACGACCGUCCUCCAAACUGCUGGCUCCUUGACCUCCUUCUGCUGUCCCAGUCACUUAGCCUGACCUUUCAAUAAAUACUU